CAAAGACACAACGUACUUAUUUACGUAGCAGUCUAUAACGACUAACAAACAUAUUGAAAGAUCUUGGCUUUCCCGGUAGAAAAUAAUUCUCAAGCGUAUUUACCUACAUGAAGAUAAAGGAAUACAAUACAUUUAUCUAGAUAAAGAUAAAUAAUAAUUUCUCCAAAAUUAUUGAGUAGACAUUUAAAUUACGUAGGUAUUUCAGAUAAAAUAUUAAAAUAAUAGUUGAGGCCUCAAGUGAGAUGUUGACCUGUUGCUCUCAGCGGUUGUUUUCGAAAUUUAAAAAAUAUACCAGUUGCCCUCAAUCAAAAAUAUGCCAGUUGUCGUCCUAAAUCAAAUUUUCCAGUUGCCCUCGCUGUAUAAAAUAGCGCGUGUGUAGUACAAUUUUACCAAAACGAGGCAUUUUAGACAACAGAGAAAACUGUAGUUUACGAUAAAUAAUGACAAGUAAUGUUUCUCUGUAGUCAAUAUGUAGGUAUCUAAGAUAGGUUAGGUUACAACUUAUGAUAUUGGUAACAACAAUGAAUUAGACAAUAUCGCACUACGUGUGUUAUUAUCAUUGAAAAUAUCGUGUUUAAUAUUUUUUAUCGUAUGUAUUUGCUUUAAGAAUUUACCAACCCUAUUUUAAGACGGUGUAUAUGAUAUAUUGAAGGCAACUGGUGUAUUUUACUCUAGGUGUUUUGGGAAGACUCGGUAUAAAAAAAGAUACUUGAUCUUUUGGGAUUGCACACGAUCGGGUAAACAUGCAAUACGCGGUUAACUCUCUUGCCUCCUAGAGUGGUCUGAUUUUCAAAAGUUAUAAUUAAUUUAAAUACAAUCAAUCACUACACGUUUAUAAAAUAAGGUUUCCUACCAUGUAAGAACAAGAGAGAAAUUGUAAAAACAAUGUCAACACUACUAUAAUAAUUAAUUUUUAAGUUUUUUAUUUGGUAACAUAAUUAAAAAAUCGAAGUCCAAUUUGACUUGAGGCUCUAUAGGAGAUUUACCACUUUUUCACGAAAAAAAAUAACAAACACAACAUCGAACGUCUCUACGAGGCAGGAGAGUUAACUAACCCAAGUAUGUUUUGAGUAAAAAAAUAGGAUAUACGCACUACACAAACACCUAAA